UCCCUGCUAGCUCAGACAGUAAAGAAUCUGCCUGCAAUGCAGGAGACCUGGGUUAGAUCCCAGCGUUGGGAA
rnacentral:tRNA from 1 species